AGGGCUGCACCCACAACAUAUGGAAAUUCCCAGCCUUGGGUUUGAAUCAGAGCUGCAGCUGCCAGCCUAUGCCAUGGCAAUGCAGGAUCUGAGCCACGUCUGUGACGUACACCAAAGCUCACAGUAACACCAGAUCAUUAACCCACCGAGUGGGGCCUGGGACCAAACUCGAAUCCUCAUGGAUACUAGUCAGAUUCCUUACCACUGAACCUCAGUGAGCACUCCCAAGAUGAUCUCAUAGUAAUGAAUUAUAUCUACAAUAACCCCAUUCCUUAAUGUGAUUAUAUUCAGAGGUUCUGGGGGUUAGUGAUUUAACAUAUCUUCAGAGAGUUUUAAGGCUGUAACCCACAGAUCUUGUCAACCAAACAUAGGACUUUUAGGAUACCUCCAACAUUGUCCCCCAAUGUCUCAGCAGGGGUCCAAGCCUAAAAAAAGGCUUAUCUUGAAGAGAUUAUGAGUUGCCUUUGUUUGUUUGUUUGUUUGUUUGUUUAACAGCACACACCAUAAUGGAAGUCACAGGAGACCCACAAGGUUUUUAAGAGAAUGGUAUUGGCAGAAAUAUUGCCAAUUUAGAUUGAAAGGUCAGAGAAAAUAAAAAAUGAAAGAGACAUUGUAUUGUCUCUUGACAGUAAAGUUGGACACCCAAACCUCUACUCUCCGUGAAGCAGACAGAGAACAUUUUUCAGCCACAAAUAUGUGCUACCUUUUGUGAUAAAAGAAGGAUGGAGUAGCAAAUGGAAAAAAAGAAUGCAAAAAGUGGCACUGACAGACAGACAAUUAUUCCUAUAUAUUGAGACACAACCAAAGAACUUCACAUAUUUGUCUGGCUGGAUAUUAGAACUGCUAUGGAUCAAUCACUCCUGUGUGCCUAUGACCUUAUACUUUUUUCAACAAAAAUGUCUAUUGUGCUUAUUCUAUAUCCCACCAUUGUUAUGUUGAGUGUGUGGGAAGCAAAUAACCUGUCUUUUUAGUUUCUCAGAUCUAUAUUUCUAUAGAAGCUGUACUCAGAGAACUGGAAAUGUCCACUUACGAACCUGACUUAUGUAAUAAUAUUCUGCACUUGGAGAUAAUGUUUUAAUGUGAUUACAUGUUUGGGGACUUUGGGAAGGUGAAUGUAUUCUGCAUGAAGAAGUGAUGUGAAUUACUGCAGGGCAGAGUGAAAUGCACUAGGCAGCCCCUAGCAGUGACCCUACAUCUUUAAGUUCAUGCUUUCGUGUAAUCCCUCUGCUUGAGUCUGGACUAUACCUAGUAACUAAUUUCUAAUGAAUAUAAUACAGCAAAAUUAACACAUGACAUUUUUGAGAUUAAGUCACUAAAAAACAAAACCAAAAACAAAAACUGUGAACCCUGUCUUGAGUUCCCGUUGUGGCGCAGUGGUUAACGAAUCCGACUAGGAACCAUGAGGUUGUGGGUUCGGUCCCUGCCCUUGCUCAGUGGGUUAACGAUCCGGCAUUGCCAUGAGCUGUGGUGUAGGUUGCAGACGAGGCUCGGAUCCCGAGUUGCUGUGGCUCUGGCGUAGGCCGGAGAAUACAGCUCCGAUUAGACCCCUAGCCUGGGAACCUCCAUGUGCCGUGGGAGCGGCCCAAGAAAUGGCAAAAAGACAAAAAAAAAAAAAAAAAAAAAAAAAAAA
rnacentral:lncRNA from 1 species